rnacentral:rRNA from 1 species
UACGAAGGGGGCUAGCGUUGCUCGGAAUCACUGGGCGUAAAGCGCACGUAGGCGGAUCGUUAAGUCAGGGGUGAAAUCCUGGAGCUCAACUCCAGAACUGCCUUCGAUACUGGCGAUCUCGAGUUCGGGAGAGGUGAGUGGAACUGCGAGUGUAGAGGUGAAAUUCGUAGAUAUUCGCAAGAACACCAGUGGCGAAGCGGCUCACUGGCCCGAUACUGACGCUGAGGUGCGAAAGCGUGGGGAGCAAACAGG